GUUUGUUGAGACUCAGAGAGAAGCGGGUUUCAAAGACUAAAGGAGGACUAGAAGAGGACGAGAAGAGGACUAGAAGAGAGCUGAAGACCCCACCUCCUACCAGAGUGAGCCGCCAUGAAUGACAAUGACACGUACGCUGUGGUCAAGAAGCUCAAGUACCCGCCCUCUGACCCCGCCCCCUCUGCUGUGGCCACGCCCAGAUUCAGCAGGCCGCCUCCAUCCCAUCACUAUGACAACGACCCCCCAGCAGCUCCCGUCUACAGCGUUGUCAAACCACGAGUCAAACCUCACGGUCCGCCCCUCUCAGCCACGCCCCUUUACGACAUGCCGCCGCCAGCCAAUCACAGGCCGGGGGACAGCGGAGCGCAUCACUUGAGCCCAGCCGGAGGUCUUUCUCUGACCAACGAUGACUAUGAAGACUUCUGCUCUUCGGGGCCUGAGGCCAGCGGCUCACCUGGUGGCAUCGGAUAGGGGGGCAGAAGACGAUGCGAAGUCACCAAGCCUAACAGAGAAAGAUCGCUGGGACAGGGUUUAAUUGUCGUAUUCAGAAGCCCAGAGGACCCAGAGACCCCCCAGCUGACUGGGGCCACCUGGACAGAUGAACUGGUCCCACUGGUCUGACUGGUUGUUAAUAUGAGAUGAAGUGGUCUGACUGGACCUCACUGGUUAACAACCGGGUUGAACUGAACCUGUUAUUCUGACCAUAACUGAUCAUAUUUAUGGUUAUUAAAUUGAGUAUUUCUUUCGUCUGUGAUUCAUAAAUGUUUUACUUUUCGUGUGAUGAGACUUUAAAAUGUGAAGAAUAAUAAAUCAUGAUUAAAACAGA